UACGUAGGGUGCGAGCGUUAAUCGGAAUUACUGGGCGUAAAGCGUGCGUAGGUGGUUCGUUGUGUCUGUGGUGAAAGCCCCGGGCUUAACCUGGGAAUGGCGUUUGGGACUGGAAGUCUGGAGUGCGGCAGAGGAGACUGGAAUUCCUGGUGUAGCAGUGAAAUGCGUAGAUAUCAGGAGGAACACCGAUGGCGAAGGCAGGUCUCUGGGCUGACACUGACGCUCAUGCACGAAAGCGUGGGGAGCAAACAGG
rnacentral:rRNA from 1 species